UUUCGGGCAUAAGUGAUCGUAUAUGAAUGAGCUCUUGGUUGACCUAAUGUCAUAUACCUUCUUGCUCUUGGUGUAAUACCUUAAAUCUAAGUAUCUUACCUUGAACACUGAAAACUAUGUCAUGUUGGUGUACGAGGUGUGCCUUGAAUAUAUUCCUACCGAUGAACAAGGUACGGGAGGCAGAGCUACUCGUUUGGGAAGCUAAUCAAAAACACAAUGUUUUAUUAUUUCCUUCUGCUCGAAAAAUGUUUUAAAUACAAAGAUAAUCUUAUAAAAAGCAAAUUGUGAGAUGAAAAAUAAAAGGAUUCAAAGU